rnacentral:misc_RNA from 1 species
GAUGAAGAACGUAGCGAAAUGCGAUAAGUAAUGUGAAUUGCAGAAUUCAGUGAAUCAUCGAAUCUUUGAACGCACAUUGCGCCCGCCAGUAUUCUGGCGGGCAUGCCUGUUCGAGCGUCAUUUCAACCAUCAAGCCCCAGGCUUGUGUUGGAGCCCUGCGGCUGCCGCAGCCUCCCAAAACCAGUGGCGGGCUCGCUAUCACACCGAGAGCAGUAGUUUACUCUUCGCUCAGGGCGUGUGGCGGGUGCUAGCCGUAAAACCCCCAACUUCUCAAGGUUGACCUCGGAUCAGGUAGGAAUACCCGCUGAACUUAAGCAUAUCAAUAAGCGGAGGA